rnacentral:rRNA from 1 species
AAUGAACGCUGGCGGCGUGCUUUACACAUGCAAGUCGAGCGAGGCGGGUAGCAAUACCCAGUCGAGCGGCGAACGGGUGAGUAACGCGUGGAUAACCUGCCCUGAGGUGUGGAACAACCAGGGGAAACUCUGGCUAAUACCGCAUGAUACCGAGAGGCCAAAAGGGGGCUCGCAAGGGCUCUCGCCACAGGAGGGGUCCGCGUCCGAUUAGCUAGUUGGUAGGGUAAUGGCCUACCAAGGCGACGAUCGGUAGCCGGCCUGAGAGGGUGAUCGGCCACACUGGAACUGAGACACGGUCCAGACUCCUACGGGAGGCAGCAGUGGGGAAUCUUGCGCAAUGGACGAAAGUCUGACGCAGCGACGCCGCGUGAGUGAUGAAGGCCCUCGGGUUGUAAAGCUCUGUGGAGGGGGACGAAUAAGCAUUGGUUAAUAUCCAGUGUGAUGACGGUACCUUUUAGCAAGCACCGGCUAACUCUGUGCCAGCCGCCGCGGUAAU